rnacentral:rRNA from 1 species
CGGGACGGGUGAGUAAUGUCUGGGAAACUGCCUGAUGGAGGGGGAUAACUACUGGAAACGGUAGCUAAUACCGCAUAACGUCGCAAGACCAAAGAGGGGACCUUCGGGCCUCUUGCCAUCGGAUGUGCCCAGAUGGGAUUAGCUAGUAGGUGGGGUAACGGCUCACCUAGGCGACGAUCCCUAGCUGGUCUGAGAGGAUGACCAGCCACACUGGAACUGAGACACUGUCCAG